AUUCACACGGAAUUCCCCGUUUGGGAAAAGCCUUUAAGGCAACAGGCGCAGUAAAUCAGCCAGUCGCUGAUACAGAAGGCAGGGAGACGGAUGCGCGUGAGGUCGGCUCCCGGAUUGCAGCCUGCAGUAAUUAAAGACAUCCAUCAGAUUAUGACAGCGGUGCCAGGAAGCACUGCAUCGUGGGCCUCAGAGGGUGACCGGGGUGACCAUGACAACAGCAAUCAAACACAAAGAUUAUGUUUCACAGCAAGAUUCCUCUUGUUUCCUGGUAUGUCGUGAUUCAUCUACAAACUAUGUGUGGGGUGUACUGGGAACAUCAAAGGCAUUUAAAUUGUUACUUUUCAUUCACUUUGAUUCUCUGUGGUUGUGAUUUGUGUGCUGAUGCUAACCUUCCUUCUGUUUCACCUGCUAAUUAUUAUUAGUUGGGUCCCUAUGUAAUUUUGACAGUACAUACCAAACAUUACAACAAAUUCAUUAAGCACCGCAAAUGAUCACUAAUGUGUGUUGUGGCCAGCAUAGGUGCUCUAGAUGGGCGAGGUUUGCCUUGUGCUGACAGGAAUGCAGUCAUGUCUUUCUUUCAUCAUACAUACUGCACUGUACAUGCAGGACUUUGUGUCCUCUUUCUAGGCACAGUGCUUUUGACAUUGACUAUACAUAGGAUAGGCCAGGAUUGACCCAGGCACAAAUAAUGUAUAAUAAAAAACAAUAAUGUCAUGUAACUUGACAGUAAAGCAACUAGAUACAUUUUCAACCUGUAACAAAACCUGAGUAAUAAAUUAAAGCGUCCUUUAAUAUCCUGUUGUGUUAUUCUAAUUAUAACUAACUGCAUUUAUAUGACAUUUUCUUAAAAGGUAUUUACAAAAUGCUUUAAAGACAAUGAAAGAAACCAAGUCACAGACCAAACAACAAAGAAAACAUGUACCGUGCUAAAACUGUUCAGGUUGCAUUUUUGGCCCUGGGUCUUUUUUUUACUUACUUUGAGAAGAGCAAACCUUUUAAUAUGGGAAAAUAAAAACAGAUAUUUCACCAAAACAUUGUUUUAAAAAAUACUGCCACUGCAUUAAAUUAAUUAUAGGAUUAGUGGUAGCUUGGGAGGCAGUUUGAAACCGGAUUAAAAGAUGCCAGUGGUGAAGAAGCUGUUGAUCCCAGUCUAACAGGUCUUUCAAAAAUGCUGGGAGGAAAUGUUCUGUGGGAAUGGUGGAGGAUUUCAGUCAGAAAAAUGCCUCCUCCUUAAAAGAAGAGGUUAGAGGUCAGAUACGUGCAGCACUUGAUCUCAUUUCAUGACAGAUUUGUGGCUGUUUGUGUUGUAUUUUUCUGUAUUGGCCCAUUAAAUAACCACACCAGUGUUGUGGCUUGUUUUAGCUCAUUUACUACAAAGCAUAUAUAGUUACUGUAAAAUGCUGACUGUGAUAAAUGUGAUUUUCCCAUCAUCCAGGCAGUACACUACAAAGUGAAACUUGUUUGAGAGAGCAAAUUAUCACAGUGAUCAUUUUGUUACCUUUGCUUUGUUUUUUUCUUUUUUCUUUUUUGUUGUCAAGUGUGAAUUUUUCAGCGUCAGUUGCCCAAAAGCAACACUUAUAAACUAUAGUUUGGUGUGGCACAGGGUGGAGUACGUAAAAGUCAGUUUUCACUUUGGAAAUUAAUUUUUAAAGGAAAUUGACGGAGUUAUGUAUCCUAAACUGUCUGAACCUGGAGAUGAAGAAACUGCAUUAUUGUAACUAUCUCAUUGUAUUUAUUAUUAUUAUUAUUUUCUUUAAUAAAUGUCAUUUCAUUAUUGCCAAUUCUAAUAUGGAUGAAACGGAACACAAAUAAACACAGUGGAUGGUCUGACCAGUAA